GGGUGUAGCCCAGCGGUAGGGCGCCUGCUUUGGGAGCAGGAGGUCGGGAGUUCGAUUCUCCCCACC
rnacentral:tRNA from 1 species